GUUGGCGUGGCUUAGUGUCUAGAGCACGGGCCCGCGAGUCAGAAGGACCUGGGUUCUAAUCCCAGCUCCACCA
rnacentral:tRNA from 1 species